rnacentral:rRNA from 1 species
GACGAACGCUGGCGGCGUGCCUAAUACAUGCAAGUCGAACGCAGUGGGGACGGGUGAGUAACACGUGGGUAACCUCCCAUCAGAGGGGAUAACACUUGGAAACAGGUGCUAAACCGAUACUGAUGGAUGGACCCGCGGUGCAUUAGCUAGUGGGUGAGGUACCGGCUCACCAAGGCCACGAUGCAUAGCCGACCGGAGAGGGUGAUCGGCAACACUGGGACGGAGACACGGCCCAGACUCCUACGGGAGGCGGCAGUGGGGAAUCUUCGGCAAUGGACGAAAGUCUGACCGAGCAACGCGGCGUGAGUGAAGAAGGUUUUCGGAUAGUAAAACACUGUUGUUAGAGAAGCGGUAUCUAACCAGAAAGGCACGGCUAACUACGUGCCAGCAGCCGCGGUAAUUC